rnacentral:rRNA from 1 species
UAUUGGACAAUGGGGGCAACCCUGAUCCAGCGACGCCGCGUGUGUGAAGAAGGCCUGCGGGUUGUAAAGCACUUUUAGUGGGGAUGAAAAGCACAUUGCUAAUACCAGUGUGUCUUGACCUAACCCAAAGAAAAAGCACCGGCUAACUCUGUGCCAGCAGCCGCGGUAAUACAGAGGGUGCGAGCGUUAAUCGGAAUUACUGGGCGUAAAGCGUGCGUAGACGGUUAUUUAAGUCGGGUGUGAAAGCCCCGGGCUCAACCUGGGAAUUGCAUUCGAGACUGAAUAGCUAGGGUACGGUAGAGGGAAGUGGAAUUUCCGGUGUAGCGGUGAAAUGCGUAGAUAUCGGAAGGAACAUCAGUGGCGAAGGCGGCUACCUGGCCCAAUACUGACACUCAGGUGCGACAGCGUGGGGAGCAAAC